rnacentral:rRNA from 1 species
AUUGAACGCUGGCGGCAGGCCUAACACAUGCAAGUCGAACGAGUGGCGGACGGGUGAGUAAUGUCUGGGAAACUGCCUGAUGGAGGGGGAUAACUACUGGAAACGGUAGCUAAUACCGCAUACCAUCGGAUGUGCCCAGAUGGGAUUAGCUAGUGGGUGGGGUAACGGAUCACCUAGGCGACGAUCCCUAGCUGGUCUGAGAGGAUGACCGGCCACACUGGAACUGAGACACGGUCCAGACGCCUACGGGAGGCAGCAGUGGGGAAUAUUGCACAAGGGACGCAAGCCUGAUGGAGCCAUGCCGCGUGUAUGAAGAAGGCCUUCGGAUUGUAAAGUACUUUCAGCAGGGAAGCGUUACCCACAGAGAAAGCACCGGCUAACUCCGUGCCAGCAGCCGCGGUAAUUC